AUUGAACGCUGGCGGCAUGCCUUACACAUGCAAGUCGAACGGCAGCACGGGGCAACCUGGUGGCGAGUGGCGAACGGGUGAGUAAUGCAUCGGAACGUACCUUUCAGUGGGGGAUAACGUAGCGAAAGUUACGCUAAUACCGCAUAUUCUGUGAGCAGGAAAGCAGGGGAUCGCAAGACCUUGCGCUGAUUGAGCGGCUGAUGUCAGAUUAGCUAGUUGGUGAGGUAAAGGCUCACCAAGGCGACGAUCUGUAGCGGGUCUGAGAGGAUGAUCCGCCACACUGGAACUGAGACACGGUCCAGACUCCUACGGGAGGCAGCAGUGGGGAAUUUUGGACAAUGGGGGCAACCCUGAUCCAGCCAUGCCGCGUGAGUGAAGAAGGCCUUCGGGUUGUAAAGCUCUUUCGGCCGGGAAGAAAUCGCACGGGCUAAUACCCUGUGUGGAUGGCGGUACCGGAAUAAGAAGCACCGGCUAACUACGUGCCAGCCGCCGCCGUAAAAC
rnacentral:rRNA from 1 species